rnacentral:rRNA from 1 species
ACGGGCGAGUAAUGCCUAGGAAUCUGCCUGGUAGUGGGGGACGAACGUUUCGAAAGGAACGCUAAUACCGCAUACGUCCUACGGGAGAAAGCAGGGACCUUCGGGCCUUGCGCUAUCAGAUGAGCCUAGGUCGGAUUAGCUAGUUGGUGAGGUAAUGGCUCACCAAGGCGACGAUCCGUAACUGGUCUGAGAGGAUGAUCAGUCACACUGGAACUGAGACACGGUCCAGACUCCUACGGGAGGCAGCAGCU